rnacentral:rRNA from 1 species
UUUAUAUGAGAGUUUGAUCCUGGCUCAGGAUGAACGCCGGCGGUGUGCCUAAUACAUGCAAGUCGAACGCGUUGGCCCAAUUGAUUGAUGGUGCUUGCACCUGAUUGAUUUUGGUUGCCAGCGAGUGGCGGACGGGUGAGUAACACGUAGGUAACCUGCCCAGAAGUGGGGGACAACAUUUGGAAACAGAUGCUAAUACCGCAUAACAACGUUGUUCGCAUGAACAACGCUUAAAAGAUGGCUUCUCGCUAUCACUUCUGGAUGGACCUGCGGUGCAUUAGCUUGUUGGUGGGGUAACGGCCUACCAAGGCGAUGAUGCAUAGCCGAGUUGAGAGA